rnacentral:rRNA from 1 species
AUUGAACGCUGGCGGAAUGCUUUACACAUGCAAGUCGAACGGUAGAGGGGGCAACCCCUCGAGAGUGGCGAACGGGUGAGUAAUAUAUCGGAACGUGCCCAGUCGUGGGGGAUAACGUAGCGAAAGUUACGCUAAUACCGCAUACGAUCUAAGGAUGAAAGCGGGGGAUCGCAAGACCUCGCGUGAUUGGAGCGGCCGAUAUCAGAUUAGGUAGUUGGUGGGGUAAAGGCUCACCAAGCCAACGAUCUGUAGCUGGUCUGAGAGGACGACCAGCCACACUGGAACUGAGACACGGUCCAGACUCCUACGGGAGGCAGCAGUGGGGAAUUUUGGACAAUGGACGCAAGUCUGAUCCAGCCAUUCCGCGUGCAGGAUGAAGGCCCUCGGGUUGUAAACUGCUUUUGUACGGAACGAAAAGGUCUCUCUUAAUACGGGGGGCCCAUGGCGGUACCGUAAGAAUAAGCACCGGCUAACUACGUGCCAGCCGCCGCGGUAA